rnacentral:rRNA from 1 species
GACAGCAGUCGCCGCGGUAAGACGAACCGUGCGAACGUUAUUCGGAAUCACUGGGCUUAAAGCGCGUGUAGGCGGGAGGGCACGUCCGUCGCUGAAAUCCCCCGGCUCAACCGGGGAACGGGCGCGGAUACGACUCUUCUGGAGGAACGUAGGGGGACCUGGAACUUCCGGUGGAGCGGUGAAAUGCGUUGAGAUCGGAAGGAACAUCUGUGGCGAAGGCGACUAUCUGGGCCAACACUGACACUGAGGCACGAAAGCGUGGGGAGCAAACAGGAUUAGAUACCCCUGUAGUCCCUGUCUCUUAUU